rnacentral:rRNA from 1 species
CCUACGGGAUGCAGCAGUGAGGAAUAUUGGUCAAUGGCCGGAAGGCUGAACCAGCCAAGCCGCGUGAAGGACGAAGGUGCCAAGCAUUGUAAACUUCUUUUGUCAAGGGACAAAAUCAGGCUCGAGAGCCUGACCGAGGGUACUUGAAGAAAAAGCAUCGGCUAACUCCGUGCCAGCAGCCGCGGUAAUACGGAGGAUGCGAGCGUUAUCCGGAUUUAUGGGGUUUAAAGGGUGCGUAGGCGGACUGUUAAGUCGGCGGUAAAAGCCCGGGGCUCAACCCCGGCGAGCCGUUGAAACUGGCUUUCUUGAGAUGUCGAGAGGUAUGCGGAAUGCGCAGUGUAGCGGUGAAAUGCUUAGAUAUUGCGCAGAACUCCGAUUGCGAAGGCAGCAUACCGGCGGCGAUCUGACGCUGAGGCACGAAAGCGUGGGUAUCGAACAGGAUUAGAUACCCUUGUAGUC